GCUAACGGCCAUACCACCCUGAGCGCGCCCGAUCUCGUCUGAUCUCGGAAGCUAAGCAGGGUCGGGCCUGGUUAGUACUUGGAUGGGAGACCGCCUGGGAAUACCAGGUGCUGUAAGCU
ensembl:rRNA 5S_rRNA 5S ribosomal RNA